ensembl:lncRNA
AUGAGCCACUGACAUGAAUACCCUGCCCUUGACUGAGCCAGGAUGCGAUCUCACGACUGCAUGUGAAAGCGCUCACUGGCACGGUGCCCGUCAGAUCGAGACGUCAGAGCCGCACACACUCACGCUGGCACGGGUCCCAUCGCUGCGUCCGCCCAUGCGAGGCCACCGGGCUGUGACGUUACAGAGGGAAAAUUUUGGGAUGACGCAUGCCGGUUCUCUGCGUGGAAUCAUUUUGGCUGCAUGGGUUUUUCUGGCUCAAUUAGCAGACUCUCUUUCUGCUGAAGGGGGAUUCAGCAUGUGACAGAGAGAGAGAGAGAGAGAGCACAGAACGGGUCGAGCGUCCUGUGUGUUUGUGUGUGUCCCGACGGCCCACAGCAUUACCCAGUCUUAUGGAUCGGAGCCCCACAGAGCCGGACUUAACAAGCCUGGACUGCAGCAAUACUUGCUGAUCUGCUGAAUCCCACUGAUGUUAAUUGAUGGGCUAAGUUAGAAGAAAGAAUAAAUAAAGGCAGUCGGACA